CAAGAUCUUUGCUAAGAAAACCCAUAAUGGAGUCACAACGUGUAAGAGUCAGACAUGGCUGGAAAAUGACUGAACAAAUACAAAAAUAUCAAGAUUUCAUCCCUAGUAAAUUUAAAGAAAAACUGGUCAUUUGUGGUUCUUUGGAAAACUGCAACACUUCACUUGAGACCUCUCUAGGAAGUGUUCACAGCUGACAAAGCACACAUUCCUUUGAUGCUCUUCCCCCAUACUUCAGUAAUGAUUACAGAAGAAAAGGGCAGAAGUGAAGUGGGGGAGAGACUCCUCUCUUAGAAGUAAUAGGCAUCACCCAUUGGCUAAUUAAAUCUCAAUUACAUUACAUCAGUGUUUGCAAUUCAGACCCUUGCAAGUUUUCAAGGAUUUACAUCCCAGGCUAUCUAAAUAACUCAGCAAAAGCUAAACUGACCUUGACCGAGCUGUAUCCUUCUCAGCUGAAUUUAAAUUUAGAAAAAUGGAGGUCGUUUUGACACAGCUUAAAGAUUUUUCUUCAAAAUCUGUCACAUUUAAUAGCUGUAGCCCAGCAGAAGUUUCCUCCUUGAGGUGUUACAGCAAAGAAGAUGGACCCAAUAGACAGAGCUUAGACAUUGAAAGUGCCUUGGCUUUCCUCAGAAAAGAGCUGAUAAAGAAGCUGAGAUUUAUAGGGUCAAAUGACACCCUUGAUCUCACAGCUACUAAGUGUCAAGAGGCAGGAUUUGGACCCCAUCUUUCUGAUACUACAUUUUCCACCUCUUUGAAGUUGGGGAUGGGCAACAAGAAGAAAGAAUGUAUAGAUCAAACCUAAGAAAUAUUGUACUGCCCACCCAAGGAAUUAGGAAGCUCUUCUGAAGUUAGCAAGAAUUUUUCUAUUUUCUUUUGUCUCCACUUCUAUUUCAUUGUUAGAAUAUACAAGAGAGCUGAGAAUAAUUGUAAAUGUGAAUAAAGAUGAGAAAAUGUGUGAUUCGGGGCUCUAU
rnacentral:lncRNA from 1 species